UAUUGGGCGUAAAGCGCGUCUAGGUGGUUAUGUAAGUCUGAUGUGAAAAUGCAGGGCUCAACUCUGUAUUGCGUUGGAAACUGUAUAACUAGAGUACUGGAGAGGUAAGCGGAACUACAAGUGUAGAGGUGAAAUUCGUAGAUAUUUGUAGGAAUGCCGAUGGGGAAGCCAGCUUACUGGACAGAUACUGACGCUGAAGCGCGAAAGCGUGGGUAGCAAACAGGAUUAGAUACCCUGGUAGUCCACGCCGUAAACGAUGAUUACUAGGUGUUGGGGGUCGAACCUCAGCGCCCAAGCAAACGCGAUAAGUAAUCCGCCUGGGGAGUACGUACGCAAGUAUGAAACUCAAAGGAAUUGACGGGGACCCGCACAAGCGGUGGAGCAUGUGGUUUAAUUCGACGCAACGCGAGGAACCUUACCAGCGUUUGACAUCUUAGGAAUGAGACAGAGAUGUUUCAGUGUCCCUUCGGGGAAACCUAAAGACAGGUGGUGCAUGGCUGUCGUCAGCUCGUGUCGUGAG
rnacentral:rRNA from 1 species